rnacentral:tRNA from 1 species
GGGGUUGUAGCUCAUUGAUAGAGCACUCACCUCGCAUGUGUGAGGCCCUGGGUUCAAUCCUCAGCACCA